rnacentral:lncRNA from 1 species
UUAGUGCAAGAAGCUUAUUAAAACCAAGAAUUAUGGUAUCGAUAACCAUUUUAUAUGCACAAAGAUCAUUUCAUUAUUGGCCAAAUGGAAAACAAAUAUGUUCAUGCCAUAUUGUUUGAAGCUACUCAAUGAAUAACAUCCAGUAUGACAUGAACCUUUUGAAUAAAUUGGAAUCAUAGAUAUCUAAAUAAGCAACAUCCACCUUCAGGACCUGAUGCACAUAAGAAAUGGCCUCUCAGGAACCAUAUCCAUUCAAGUAGGCUGUAAAGGGAAAGAAAAAUAAAGUUAAAUGAUUAACAAUGUUGAUAGCACAUACCAAAUGACAGGACCAGGAGAUAUGCAGUCAAUAAGCAUGGGAAGGAAAUGCCUUUCCUUAUAUCCUUAGAAGUGAUCCUUAGGAAACGAUAAGAGAACAAGAGUCGGCAUGCACCAUACUAUUAUCGAUACAUUGACUAAGCAAUCAGAAUAAUAUACUUCUCAACAUUUAAUCUGUAUGUUAAAACAAAGGCAAGUGUGCUCUUAUUUGGAUCAUAGAAAACCCAGCAUGACUACUUGACUGCUAUUAUUCCCAGAGGCAAGUUUGGGAAUAUGAUAUCUUUGUAUGAUACUCAAUUCAGUUGAGAAUAUAGCAAGAAACAUCAUCCCACUGUGUAAUCUCUCUCCUUUAUUUGCGUGAUACUUCCCUAAAGCCAACGCCAUGUGGAAUCUUUCUCUACAGUUCACUUGUAUAUACAGGGACCAAUUUGAUCUUUUUCGCAUGAAUGCACCAAUUUUAAGCUACAACCACAGACCACAGAAAAGAGACCAAGAGGAUGUUUUACCCUACCUACAUGAUACAUCUAUAAAUAGCAAAACCACCCUGGAAAUAAACUACAAGUAGAAUGGCACCUGCAUGAAACCAAUCUGUUCUAGCUUCUGAGGUAUGUUAUUAACAAAAUACUAAGACAUUCAUAAACCUUCUUGGCCACAUGCAGUCACAUAGUGUGCCAUGUGAGUCAACAGAUUACUAAACGUAAAUGACAACAUUAUAAUAGCAAAGCACUUGAGUCAACAGAGUACUACACGCAAAUGACAGUAAAACAUGACAACCCAAUGCCAUCCUGCUAUUCAAGCAUUUCUUUAAUCAGGGUUAGAUGCAAGAAUGAAAUUUUGUAGACAAGCAAGAGCAUGUACGACUGUAAUCUAGUAGUAUGAAAUUAGCAAGAACGCGUAUAGUUUUCCAGAAAUACUAAAUACUCCCUCCGACCCAAAAUUCUUGUCUUAGAUUUUUCUAAAUACGAAUGUAUCAAGUCACAUUUUAGUAUUAGAUACAUCCGUAUCUAGACAAAGCUACGACAAGAAUUUUGGGAUGGAGGGAGUACUAAAUAGAAAAAAUCACAUGCUUUUCCUGUUUGAAUUGAUUUAAAAUCUUAUUACUAAUACAUAUAACCAUAUUGACAGGUUUCCUAACUAUAAUCAUUCAGUUUGAUGGAUUAAUCCCUACCCACCUAGUACUGAAAUGAGAAUCAGCUCUGCUUUCAUUCAUGAUGCAAACUCUUGCACGUAAGAACUAAAUUUGAAUCUAGAGGGAGAGGGCGGCUAGAGACUGUGAGGGAGGAAGGAGAGGAAGAUUACUCAUGCCAUGCAAAACUCCUGUAGUGCACGUGGUUUUGAUGGCACACUACAGGUAGGUGCUCAGAGUACUCCAAACUCCUACAAAACUGUACACAAACAGAGUACUUCAGUAGACGAGCCGUUCAAUUGGAGGAGUUCGAAAUUGUAAACAAACUCGUGAAAGUUCAUGUAAUGUUUGCUGCAACAGAAAAGAAGGUGAUCUUGAUAUUAGAGAACCAGUAACGUUUGCAAUAGCAAAAGGUUGGCAUCACCACGAGUAAGCAUAUGAAACACAUGAAGGUUUUCUCUCCUUUUUUGUAAAGUGAACAUGCAUUGGCUUUUAUCCAUUGAGACGUUGACCAAAGAGGCCCUACAUAUAUAUCGUGUACCUUGCUCCUCAAAAACAACAACUCUGUCCUAAGGGGAAAACAUUUAGGGAUUUUUUUAUCACAAGCUAUUUUACUAAUUCAAUUUUCAACAAUAACACUAGGUACGUACAAAUGGCUAGAAAUUCCUAGAGCGACCAAAAUGAAUAGAAACAGGAGUGGAACUUUGGUAAUGCUGGAAAGCUUCCAUUAUUUUUAGGUUGCCAUUGUAACGUUAAAAUAUUCUAACUCCAUUAAAAGGACAUAUUUUGAAAUGAUUUGGCAACACAACCAAAAAUAGGGGCAAACCUAUCACAGUUUUAGGGCAUGAUAGUAUGUAGACAGAAUGACCUAUUAGUUUGUAGAUAACAAAGCACAAAGUUAGAUGAAAGAAAUAUAUGAUUGACCUGUUACUGAAGAGAAAUAAUCACAUCUGGACAAGCACCUCAAAAUGUCCUUUUGACCAAUUACGCAACUGGAC